AGAGCGAACGCUGGCGGCAGGCUUAACACAUGCAAGUCGAGCGGGCGUAGCAAUACGUCAGCGGCAGACGGGUGAGUAACGCGUGGGAACAUACCUUUUGGUUCGGAACAACACAGGGAAACUUGUGCUAAUACCGGAUAAGCCCUUACGGGGAAAGAUUUAUCGCCGAAAGAUUGGCCCGCGUCUGAUUAGCUAGUUGGUGAGGUAAUGGCUCGCCAAGGCGACGAUCAGUAGCUGGUCUGAGAGGAUGAUCAGCCACAUUGGGACUGAGACACGGCCCAAACUCCUACGGGAGGCAGCAGUGGGGAAUAUUGGACAAUGGGCGCAAGCCUGAUCCAGCCAUGCCGCGUGAGUGAUGAAGGCCCUAGGGUUGUAAAGCUCUUUUGUGCGGGAAGAUAAUGACGGUACCGCAAGAAUAAGCCCGGCUAACUUCGCGCCAGCAGCCGC
rnacentral:rRNA from 1 species